rnacentral:lncRNA from 1 species
AUAAAAAAAAAAACAAUAGCCUUAAGGAUCAAAGCCUAGAUAGGGGAAUUAAAAGGGCUUGAUCUGGGAGCACCUGGACAGAAGUUUUUGCUGCUUUCAACUUAUGCCAGGUUAAGCGAAAAGCUGUAAAUGUUACCAGAGAAGAGGAUCUUGGCCUAGAAUACAAGGAGGAGUAGAUGGACUAGAAGAAGAUACAUUUUUGGAACUAAGCAGGAUCACUUUGAACCUUUUAUGCAGUUAUCUAGGCAAAAGUAUGCAGCCUGAGGCACCUCAGUGACAUCUAUCUUCUAA